rnacentral:rRNA from 1 species
GUGGGGAAUUUUGGACAAUGGGCGCAAGCCUGAUCCAGCAAUGCCGCGUGCAGGAAGAAGGCCUUCGGGUUGUAAACUGCUUUUGUACGGAACGAAACGGCUCUGGUUAAUACCCGGGGCUAAUGACGGUACCGUAAGAAUAAGCACCGGCUAACUACGUGCCAGCAGCCGCGGUAAUACGUAGGGUGCGAGCGUUAAUCGGAAUUACUGGGCGUAAAGCGUGCGCAGGCGGCUUUGCAAGACAGAUGUGAAAUCCCCGGGCUCAACCUGGGAACUGCAUUUGUGACUGCAAGGCUAGGGUACGGCAGAGGGGGAUGGAAUUCCGCGUGUAGCAGUGAAAUGCGUAGAUAUGCGGAGGAACACCAAUGGCGAAGGCAAUCCCCUGGGCCUGUACUGACGCUCAUGCACGAAAGCGUGGGGAGCAAACAGGAUUAGAUACCCUUGUAGUCC